GCCUGGGUGGCUCAGUCGGUUAAGCAUCCGACUUCGGCUCAGGUCAUGAUCUCGCGGUCCGUGGGUUCGAGCCCCACGUUGGGCU
rnacentral:tRNA from 1 species